rnacentral:lncRNA from 1 species
GAAAACACAGUUAAACUGUUAAAACCGUGAAGGAAAAAACAAAAGAGAAACAUAAAUUAAGGUUUUGCGAACAGAGGAUAAGAAGAAGAUGAGGACAGUAUUGUCAUUUUACAUUUAUUAAUGAUAAAUUAUUGAAAUAAACGAAACACCCCCUUCAUACCUCGAACACGCGACCUGGACAACGUUAUGGAGGGAACCAACCACUAAACCACGACAGAUAACAGUUAAACACCUAACAUAAUAUAAUAUCUAUAUUUUACAAAACCAUCUUCU